ACGGCAGUACCAUGCUGAAUAUACCGGUUCCCGUUAGAUCACCGAAGUUAAGCAUCAUUGGGCGCGGUCAGUACUUGGGUGGGUGACCACCUGGGAACACUGCGUGCCGUU
rnacentral:rRNA from 1 species